rnacentral:rRNA from 1 species
AGUGAACGCUGGCGGUAGGCCUAACACAUGCAAGUCGAACGGCAGCACAGAGGAGCUUGCUCCUUGGGUGGCGAGUGGCGGACGGGUGAGGAAUACAUCGGAAUCUACUCUAUCGUGGGGGAUAACGUAGGGAAACUUACGCUAAUACCGCAUACGACCUACGGGUGAAAGCAGGGGAUCUUCGGACCUUGCGCGAUUGAAUGAGCCGAUGUCGGAUUAGCUAGUUGGCGGGGUAAAGGCCCACCAAGGCGACGAUCCGUAGCUGGUCUGAGAGGAUGAUCAGCCACACUGGAACUGAGACACGGUCCAGACUCCUACGGGAUGCAGCAGUGGGAAAUAUUGGACAAUGGGCGCAAGCCUGAUCCAGCCAUACCGCGUGGGUGAAGAAGGCCUUCGGGUUGUAAAGCCCUUUUGUUGGGAAAGAAAUCCAUCUGGUUAAUACCCGGGUGGGAUGACGGUACCCAAAGAAUAAGCACCGGCUAACUUCGUGCCAGCAGCAGCCGCAG